rnacentral:rRNA from 1 species
UGGGGAAUCUUGGACAAUGGGCGCAAGCCUGAUCCAGCCAUGCCGCGUGAGUGAAGAAGGUCUUCGGAUUGUAAAGCUCUUUUACCAGGGACGAUAAUGACGGUACCUGGAGAAUAAGCCCCGGCAAACUUCGUG